CCAACUUUUUCUUCAAUAUUAUUAUCGUUCAUUAUACAAUCGAUGUAUAAUGGAUCGAUCAGCUCGCUAAUGACAUCUAUAUUGAAGAAGUUUGCUGUUGCAUAACAGGAAAAUGAUGAUAGGAAGAAGAGGUAAACUAAUAUGGGCAUUUGCAGUUUGUGUGAAAAAGGCAUAUUUUCCUUAUCGUACGUUGGUGUAUUUCUUUUGGUGACU
rnacentral:lncRNA from 1 species